UACGAAGGGGGCUAGCGUUGUUCGGAAUUACUGGGCGUAAAGCGUGCGCAGGCGGCUUCUCAAGUCAGGGGUGAAAGCCCAGAGCUCAACUCUGGAAUUGCCUUUGAGACUGAGUGGCUUGAGUACGGGAGAGGAUAGUGGAAUUCCCAGUGUAGUGGUGAAAUACGUAGAGAUUGGGAAGAACACCAGUGGCGAAGGCGGCUAUCUGGACGGUUUCUGACGCUAAGACGCGAAAGCGUGGGGAGCAAACAGG
rnacentral:rRNA from 1 species